rnacentral:rRNA from 1 species
AACGAACGCUGGCGGCAUGCCUAACACAUGCAAGUCGAACGAGACCUUCGGGUCUUGUGGCGCACGGGUGCGUAACGCGUGGGAACCUGCCCUUAUGUUCGGAAUAACUCCCCGAAAGGGGUGCUAAUACCGGUUAAUGUCUUCGGACCAAAGAUUUAUCGCCUUUGGAUGGGCCCGCGUUGGAUUAGCUAGUUGGUAGGGUAAAAGCCUACCAAGGCGACGAUCCAUAGAUGGUCUGAGAGGAUGAUCAGCCACACUGGGACUGAGACACGGCCCAGACUCCUACGGGAGGCAGCAGUGGGGAAUAUUGGACAAUGGGCGAAAGCCUGAUCCAGCAAUGCCGCGUGAGUGAUGAAGGCCUUAGGGUUGUAAAGCUCUUUUACACGGGAUGAUAAUGACAGUACCGGGAGAAUAAGCUCCGGCUAACUCCGUG